rfam:Salmo salar isolate Sally breed double haploid chromosome ssa11, whole genome shotgun sequence.
UGAAUGCAAGCCUGUAAGUCGCUUUGGAUAAAAGCAUCUACUAAAUGGCAUAUA